CGGUGUUGCCAUGGCUACAUGCGCCGCGCUCUGCGCGGGCCGGUGUGAGCUUCUGGGGCGGGCAGCGGGCUCCGGAAGUGUGCAGCUACCCGGGACCAUGGCAGUGCUUGCUGCUGGGGCUGGCGGCUUGCUCGCCUGGGCGACUAGUUCUGGCCUGGUCAGUCGGCGGCCGACAUCCUGUCUGGGGCGGCGUCCCACAGACGGUAAACGUACCUUCUGUGUGAUGUCAACCCUCCAGAGGGCUUCAGCCUCCGUAGAAGCGUCUGUAUCCACAUCGCCUUCCUCCUGAAGGCCCUGCUGAAAAUGGAGGAAUCGGUGCUGGUGAUACCCCCUUGGGGCCUCCUCUACCAUUGGCAGAGCCUGGACAUCCACCAGGUCCGGAUUCCCUGGUCUGACUUUUUUGAUCUCUCAAGUCUCAACAGAAACAUCCCUGACACUGAGUACGAACCGUUCAUUGCAGGUGAGAUGGUGAUCGUUUAACUGGGGCCAGACGGUUGUUGUUCUGGUUCCGAUGUGAACAUCAGGCCAUCUUGCUUCGGGCUUGUCGGUCUGCUAAGGGGUCCUGCUCAUGUUUCCCGCACUGCAGGUGAAUUUGGUCUUUCCAUAGUUUUUCUCAGGAAAUAGAUCUGAAGUGUAUGAGAUCUGUGUUCCCUCCGCUCUGAAAAUCCUGGCCUCCUGGUGAGAUGGAGCGGUGACAAGAAGGCCACUGCCACACAGGCCUUGUCUAAGGAGGACUCGCUCCCUGGACAGUAAGGGCCAUUCUUACCUGAAGGAAAACACGAUGUGUGUGUAGCAUGGGCCACGUGCUGGAGAAGAGAGUGAGAAUCACCUCUGAAGGCGGAGGAAGAAAGUUGGAGGUGCGGGGCACAAAGUCUUUUGUCCUUUUGCUACUGAAAAAAUGAUUGCUUUUGUAAUUAGUGAUGAUGCCCUUUAAAUUGGUGAGAUCGAGAUUCUACAGCUUCAGCGCCUGUGAAUAACCAGCCGGGAGAAAGCUCUCCAGGGCCCCUGCAGUGGGAAAGGCAGCCCCUCUGAGCACCUGUUGUUCUGUAUUCUUCCUGACUCCACAUGGGUUUGCUACGCACCGCACCGUGCAGGACGAUGCAGUUACCCGAGGUGGAGGACAGGGAGACCCCUGCUGUGUGGCGAGCCACAGGAGCCCACAUUUGAAGGACAAAAUGAAGAGUAGUGGGGCGGGCAUAGGAGGAGAGGAUGGUUGAGACCCAGGAUGGUGUCCUGGAGUCCAGCAGGCGAGGCUGGCUGGGCAGAUGGGGCCCUGGGGCAUGGGCAGUCCUUGAGGGAUCUGAAGCAAAGAUAUGAACCAAGAGACUGGAUUCGUGUGGGCGUACAGCACCCCCUGGAGGCCGCGGGGCAGUGCAGCAAGCCCAGGAGGAGCGGGCAGUUCCCCAGAUUUGGGUUGACAGGUCACAACCAAUUCACUGGGGACCGAGAGGUACCGAGAUAUUGUUAAAAUUUUGUCCCUCUUCCUGGAAAAAAAGCUGCUUCCUGUUGAAUAGCCUGUGUCGUUAGUGAGAAUUAAAGACAUGAAGCAACAUUUCCUCAAAUGUCAUCCAUUGUGUAGUUGUUAAUAAGGGUCAAAUGCAGACUUGAAUAGACUAAAUCAAAUAUUCAUCAUCGGAUUUUAAAAUCCUUUAAAAUAAAAAUUCUUGCUGUCUUUGUUCUUCAUUUCAGGGUUCACUUGGUGAUAAUAAUAGUAAACAAAGCAACAGCAAACCCUUAAAGAACUCUGUCCUGCUGUUCCAGGAACUCUGUGUUCACGACAACACAAUGAGGUGGCACUUUACAGGAAGGACAGUCAUUAAUCACAUAGCUAGUAAAUGGCAGACCUGGGACUUGAACCCAAGCUGUCUGGCCCCAGAGCCCCCUCUCAGGCCUUUCAUUGCAGCUCAUCACUUGGCAUGCCCGACACAGGCCAGCAUUAAGGAGCAGCGUGACCUUGGCCAUGGCUGCUUCACCGCUUGGUCUCUGUUUCCUCAUCUGUAGAAUGGGGUUGUGGGCAGUGAAUUCUGUGAGCUCAGUGGUCACUUCCUCCAGCUCUGCUAUUCUACUGCUUUAAGAUAAUUUAUUAAGUAUCUGAGCCUCUGAAUGGGCCACCUUGGCGCUUUGCUAGGACCUGGGUUACGGAGAAAAGUAAGAUCAACUUGCUUCUCCAAGGAGCCUGUCUCCCUCCACGAGAAACAGCUGCAAGGCCCAGGUUCCCUCGCUGGCAGUCGGGGGCUGGGCAGGAAAGUCUGAUAGAAGGUGGAGGCAGAGCCCCUACGAGAACAGUGUUAGCCACACAGCUCUCAGGAACAGGAGCGUCUGUCCAGGCUGCUGAGAGGGGUGUCCUCGUGAGGCCAGCAGCCCCCCCCAAAUUAAGCCCUCAGGACAAAGAUCCAGCCAGCCCUGCAGUGUCACCAUAGAGCCAGUCCAUCCUCAUCACUGUGCCCCUGUGCUCCUUUGUCCUGGGGCCUCUCUUUCCCCUACACCCAGAAGACUCUUCUCCCUCUCUUCUCUGAGUGUCCCCUCACUUCACCCGUGGUCCCUGCUUCCUGGGCCACCAUCUCUGGAGUUGACACUUUGCCCCCUCACACCCCCCGUUUGAUAAGGAGCCUGGGUUUGCCUCCUUGUGCUCACUUUCCCCCUUCAGAUGAUUGCUCCUACUCUCCUGGGAGCUCCUGGAAAACCCAGGUCCAUUCCUAGCAGUGCCUGCCACCCUGGCCUCCCUGCUCAUCUGCCUCAGUCAGGAGCACCUGGACCACCAGCUCUGUAUUGCCUCGCCUCCUACCAUCAAGAUGUCAAAGUUCAUUCUCCCUCCACCACCCAGUAUGUUCAUUUUAGGGUCUUCUUCACCGUCAGCCUGAGCCAGCCACCCCCCAUUCACCCUACCCACGGGCUCAUACCCGGGUGUGUCUCCACCCCAGGUCCAGCCUCUCUCUUUAAGUGCCCACCUGUAGCCAUCCAGCUGCUUCUCCACCAGCCUCCUUGGCCCUCAUUCACCCUCACUAAGGCCUCAUGCACUGACUCCUCUGCUUUCCUGCCUGUCCACGUUCCUCUUACUUCCACUACCCCACCUUCCAGCUCUGCAUCCACAGUCAGCACUCUCUUUAUGACAAACAAAACCCCCUUGAGCCUUGAACUUUUCAGUUCCUCAACAGGCCGACUUCCAUCUCUGUUCACCCAGCUCUAUUUGUUCUGAGCCUGCAGGCAGCAGGCUCUCCCAGCACAGGUUUCUAAGACUACAAAUCAAUGCCCACCGUGUUGCCACUGCCAGGCAAUCCUCCAGGGUUUCUCUAGUGAGCACAUUUCCCCACUUAUCACUCAGUGGUGUCAACAUUCUCUGCUCUCUGCACACCUCUAAGCUUCCCUCUGUCUCUUCCCUGACUCCCAGCAGAUGGCCUUGCCUCCUGCUUCAGAGAGAAUGACAUGUCACUGGAAAGGAACUCACUCACCUGUAGCAAACCUGCUCACCUCACCUUUUAUCUGUCCCUCUCCCACCUGGACUCUAGCUGUAGUUCUUAAUUCAGUGAGUUUAGUUGACAUAUAUAUACACAGUUAAAAGCAUAGCACACUAUCGCCUACCUUCUAGGGCUUAUUGUUUCAAUUUAACAUAGAGUGUGUGAUUCAUCCACUUCGCUGCAUGUACCUGCAGUUCAUUUGUUUUAACUGAUCUUAAGUGUUGUGUGUGUGAAAGUAACACAAGGCAAGGGUAAGCCAGGAUUCAGGAUGCUGGUUACUUCCUGUGAGAAGAGGUCAAGUGCAGGUUAUUACACAGUAUGUCACUGUCAAUAUUCCUGUUCUGAUGCUGGGUGAUAGGUUCACAACUGUUUCUUAUAAUAUUAAUUUUAAUACAUUAAUACUUCUCAAAGGCACCUAAGGUGAGAUUGUGUCAUGAACCAAGGCAUACAAUGGGUAAUAUUACAUCAUUAUUUUUAUGUAAUCUUGUUAUAAAAUGUAUUAAUCAUAAUCCUACAUUGUUAUGUAUUAUAUAUUAUAUAGAUGCAUGAAUUAUAUAUUAUGUAUAUAAAUACCUACAUACGUAUUAUAUACUAUCUGAUAAUAAAUAAACAGAACAUAUUAUGGUAGUAUAUCUACUAUUAUGUAUUAUUUAAUUAAUAAUAACAUACUGUAUCCUGUUAUAUGACAUGACACCUAAUCUUUAAUCAAAUAAAAAU